rnacentral:rRNA from 1 species
CCAAGGGUAUGGCUGUUCGCCAUUUAAAGUGGUACGCGAGCUGGGUUUAGAACGUCGUGAGACAGUUCGGUCCCUAUCUGCCGUGCGCGUUUGAGAUUUGAGAGGAUCUGCCCUUAGUACGAGAGGACCGGGGUGGACGAACCUCUGGUGUUCCGGUUGUCACGCCAGUGGCACUGCCGGGUAGCUACGUUCGGAAGGGAUAACCGCUGAAAGCAUCUAAGCGGGAAGCCCACCUCAAGAUGAGAUCUCACUUGACCCUCGAGGUCACUGAAGGGCCCUGGAAGACCACCAGGUUGAUAGGCUGGGUGUGGAAGUUCAGCAAUGGAUGAAGCUAACCAGUACUAAUUGCCCGUGAGGCUUGACCAUAUAACGCUCAAGCGUU